UUAAUCUUCUGGUCAUCAUGAGUGAUCAGAUUGUACCUGGGUCUACCAUUAGAGAGGCUGGUUUCAGACUAUGAUCUAUAAGUAGAUUAUUAGAAACCCUGUUGCAGUGAGGUUAUUUUAGCAAUAACUUUACCCAUUGUAUAUCAAUGUAUGUGUGUAAAUUAAUUGAUUUCUUGCUGAAUUACUACAUUCAUAAUAGGUCGUUUUAUCCUUUGUUUUUCUUGUUCCAUACCAGGCUGCCAUGGUGCGGGCCUCUCAAACAACUUCCUCCCAGCAACAACAGAAAUGCGAGCCAAGCUUUCAAAAUAACAUCAGGAGGCAAGAGAAACAGAUAUUUUACGUGUGUACAUUGCACAAUUUAUAUAUUUUUUAAAAUAGCAAAAUGUCUCAAUUACAAACAGUAUGUUGCCCUUGUUUUUUUUAAAGCGCCAUUCCUCUGGAAUCCCUACUAUCACUGCAGCGAGUGAAACUUCAACCAUGUCAGUCAGUGAACAACGAAAUCCUGCGUCUAGUGACGUCCAUUUGCCAACAACCUGCCCACUCGACUCAACUCGACUCAACUCGACCCCAACCCCUCCUCCCUCCUAUGUCUGACCACUGGCUGCUUUCUCUCCAACUUUGACUGCCAGUCGUACCCCUCCUCAAAAAAAUGAACACUUCUCCGAAAGGAUCUAGUGGUUCUGGGACGCAUACCGUAUCCCUUCCCCAGACCUUGAUCCACCUGAUGUCCUCCAUGAUCAACCACCCUCCAAGAUCCCACUUUUCAUGACAUUAUCUACAGCUACUGUUAAUGUCAUGUGGUUUGAUAGAAUCUGCUUAGGGACCUGUGCAUGACAUAUCAUCCUAGGCACAGUGAGAUACACUACAGGGAAAGUGACCAGCAGAACCACUUGUAGCAUCCACAGCUUCUCUAUCCCACACACCAGAAUUGAGAUAAAGGAUUUAAAAAAAUAACUUUACUUAUAUGUACUUGUAAUUCAUACUUAUGUUUUCCCAACUAAAUUGUAUUUUAUUGUUUGUGUUGAUGUUCACCUAUACUCAUGUAUUUCAGUCUAUAACUGCCAUGUGGGUAUAUUAAAUAAAAUCAACAAGUUCAUUACA